UACGGAGGGUGCAAGCGUUAUCCGGGUUCACUGGGUUUAAAGGGUGCGUAGGCGGGUUGGUAAGUCCGUGGUGAAAUCUCCGAGCUUAACUCGGAAACUGCCGUGGAUACUAUCAAUCUUGAAUACCGUGGAGGUAAGCGGAAUAUGUCAUGUAGCGGUGAAAUGCUUAGAUAUGACAUAGAACACCAAUUGCGUAGGCAGCUUACUACACGAUCAUUGACGCUGAGGCACGAAAGCGUGGGGAGCAAACAGG
rnacentral:rRNA from 1 species